rnacentral:misc_RNA from 1 species
GGCAAUCAGCCAUUGCAGUGGCGCGCUAGCAUCGAACCACGCGGCUGCGCCGCCAAAAGCAAGCGCGAUGCCGACCACCAGCAGGUAAAAAGUUCCGGUAAGCAAUUCCGCCGCAACCAACGCCGACGCCGCAAUCCACCACACCCAAUACGCGCUCAUGGCUCGCUCCUCCCGCGACGAA